GACGAACGCUGGCGGCGUGCUUAACACAUGCAAGUCGAACGGAAAGGCCCUGCUUUUGUGGGGUGCUCGAGUGACGAACGGGUGAGUAACACGUGAGUAACCUGCCCUUGACUUUGGGAUAACUUCAGGAAACUGGGGCUAAUACCGGAUAGGAGCUCCUGCUGCAUGGUGGGGGUUGGAAAGUUUCGGCGGUUGGGGAUGGACUCGCGGCUUAUCAGCUUGUUGGUGGGGUAGUGGCUUACCAAGGCUUUGACGGGUAGCCGGCCUGAGAGGGUGACCGGCCACAUUGGGACUGAGAGACGGCCCAGACUCCUACGGGAGGCAGCAGUGGGGAAUAUUGCACAAUGGGCGGAAGCCUGAUGCAGCAACGCCGCGUGCGGGAUGACGGCCUUCGGGUUGUAAACCGCUUUCGCCUGUGACGAAGCGUGAGUGACGGUAAUGGGUAAAGAAGCACCGGCUAACUACGUG
rnacentral:rRNA from 1 species